UUGUUGUCAUUGCCGAAUUCUGCUGGUAGUAUGGGAUCUUUAGUUAAGUCUUAUUGGCUUUAGUGGGCUAUAUGGCUUUAGUAGGCCACAUCAGCUACAGUGGGCUGCAUUAGCUUCAGUGGGUCAUAUUUGUUGCGGUGGGCUGUAUCUGCUAUAGUGGGUUGUUGCUAGCUUCAGUGGAUCAAGUUGGCUUCAAUGGGCCCUAUCGGCUAUAGUGGGCUGUAUCGGCUACAAACGGUGGUGGCUGGCUAUAGUGGGCCAUGGUGGCUACAGUGAGCCAUGGCUGGCUUCAGUAGGUUAUGUCGGCUAUAGUGGGCUGUGGCUAGUUGCAAU
rnacentral:lncRNA from 1 species